GCCUACGGAACGCAGCAGUAGGGAAUUUUCGUCAAUGGGCGCAAGCCUGAACGAGCAAUGCCGCGUGAACGAGGAAGGUCUUCGGAUCGUAAAGUUCUGUUGAAGGGGAAAAAGAGCGGAGAGAGGAAAUGCUUUCUGAUUGAUAUUACCCUUCGAGGAAGUCACGGCUAACUACGUGCCAGCAGCCGCGGUAAUACGUAGGUGGCGAGCGUUAUCCGGAAUGAUUGGGCGUAAAGGGUGCGUAGGCGGCCUGCUAAGUCUGGAGUGAAAGGUACCGGCUCAACCGGUACAGGCUCUGGAAACUG
rnacentral:rRNA from 1 species